CGACAGGACGGAAAGACCCCGUGGAGCUUUACUGUAGCCUGAUAUUGAAAUUCGGCACAGCUUGUACAGGAUAGGUAGGAGCCUUUGAAACGUGAGCGCUAGCUUACGUGGAGGCGCUGGUGGGAUACUACCCUAGCUGUGUUGGCUUUCUAACCCGCCCCACUUAUCGUGGUGGGAGACAGUGUCAGGCGGGCAGUUUGACUGGGGCGGUCGCCUCCUAAAAGGUAACGGAGGCGCUCAAAGGUUCCCUCAGAAUGGUUGGAAAUCAUUCAUAGAGUGUAAAGGCAUAAGGGAGCUUGACUGCGAGACCUACAAG
rnacentral:rRNA from 1 species